rnacentral:tRNA from 1 species
GUCCUGUUAGCUCAGUCGGUAGAGCACUUGACUUUUAAUCAAGGGGUCACGCGUUCAAAUCGCGUACAGGAUA